AUUUUUAUUUUAUUUCCAUUCCAUUACCGUGAGUUAGGGAGAAUCUCACUUCUCUUUCUUGGUGAGUUCUCUUGUUUUCUUCAAGUGGAAAAGAAAAAUGUUGGCCGAUUGCAUGUAGGUAAAGCCAUGGUUGUGGCUGCUUAGGAGUUGCUUAUUUUUCAAGAAUUCAAGGUAAAUCCCAUAAGCCUACUGUUGACAGAAUUUUGAGUAGCUGGACCGAAAGUUUUGAUGAGAAGAGGAAAUUAUCUUCUCAAUUGUUUUAUGCAUGUUUUAGUAGCUGGGAAAAAAAUCUUUUGAUUUCGGCCGGAGAAUUUAUUUAUUUUGGUGAAUGUUUCCAUUUUUUUUUUUUUUUAACUUGGGGCUGGUUAUGUUUAGAUAAAGAGGUAGGUGAAGAGCAUUGUGGGAAAGACAAGGAACAGGCUUGAGGAGGUAGGAAGCAGCUUGGGAAAAUUUUUGUGUGUUUUCUUUGAAAUAGUUUCUGUUUAUUUCAUGUUCAAUUUUUUAUUAGGUCAACAUGGAUGAUUCAGUUGUCUAAACUGAUGCUUAGGUGCUGUCCAUUUUUGAGCAUAUCAAUGCUGUCCAAAUUAGUGCUUAAAUGCUGUCUAUUUUUGUACAAAUUAAUGUUGUCCGAGUAUUGUUACUGCUGUCCAAAUACUUGUGAAUUAAUGACGUAUGAAUGUUGAAAUCAAUGCUGUCCGAAUGUUAUUACUACUGUCAAAAUGACUGUGAAUUUAUGUUGUCUGAUUUUUUAUUUAUUUUUGGAAUUAAAGUUGUUAGAAUUCAUGGUAAAUUGAAGAGUUGAAGCUGUCCAAAACAGGACAUGUUUCCUAUGAUUACCAAGUGUAAAUGCUUGUUUAAUUGGAGUAUAAAUGCUGUCCAAAACAGGGUAGGUUACCUAUGUUUUGUCUUAUUUUAAAUGCUUAUUGUCCAAAUGUGUUAAAUUCACUGUCCAAAUGUGUUGUCAUUUAUGUGGUUUUAUUUAACUAACUAAGAUGUUCAAAUGUGUUGAUUUUCACUGACCAAUUGUGAUGCUGUUAUGCUGCCAUAUUGUGUGAUUUAGUUGCUAUCCAAAUGGUGGAAAACUUAUUGACUUAAAUGCUGAAUGUUGCUGUUGUUAUUGACUUAAAUGCUAAAUGUUGCUGUUGUUAUUGACUUAAAUGCUAAAUGUUGCUGCUGUCCGAAUGGAGCAAUAAUUAUUGAUUUAAAUGCUAAAUGUUGCUGCUGUUUAUUGACUUAACUGCGAAAUGUUAAGUGCUGCUCGAAAUAAAAUAGGGGUUGUCCGAAUGCUGAAAUUUCGGCAUUUAUCUUUUGGUUAUAAUGUGUCUUGCCCCUGCUGUAAAUAGAAUAUUUAUGCUGAUCAUAUGCCUAAGCUUAGCUAUUAAUGAAUAUUAGUUAUGUUGAUGAUGGAUCCUAAUUAUGCUAGUUUCGGUUGCAUUUAUGCUGUCAAAGUUGAGAACUAUUAAUUGAGAUUAUUUCCGGUUUAAUGCUUGUGUUAUUAGGUUUGAACCCGGGGUGUUGGCUUGAUGGUUAGGGUGUUCAUCGCCCCAGGUGUGGCCUGGGUUUAAGUCACGCUAGUCUCGUUGUUAUUAUGGCUCUGCUCUCUUCUUGUAAUUCACCAAAAUAAAAUGGCGUAUCUUGGUGCCAAAACUGCCAAUUAAGGCAUAGUAAUAAAAUUGGUUUUGUAUAGGAUGUACAGAUGAAUUGUUGAAGAAUUUAGCUAGUUUUUUUCUUUUAUAGGUGUAUGAGGAUAGCUAAAGGUCACCAGUAGGGAAUGUUGAGUUUGGACAUGAAAUUUGAUACUUAAUGGCUCAAUCAUGCAUUCCACGGCCGUGUGACCCAUGUUUCGUAUAAUUUCCUUAUUCUUUUAAAAAUGUUACAAUUUAACCCUUGUUUGUUC
rnacentral:lncRNA from 1 species